AAGGCUGAAAUUACGCCUUCCAUGAAGCCGGAAUUGCUAGUAAUGGCAGGUCAGCAUACUGCCGUGAAUACGUUCCCGGGCCUUGUACACACCGCCCGUCACACCAUGAGAGUUGGAAAUACCCGAAGCCUGUGAGCUAACCGUAAGGAGGCAGCAGUCGAAGGUAGAGUCAAUGAUUGGGGUGAAGUCGUAACAAGGUAGC
rnacentral:rRNA from 1 species